UCUAUUCAGACUAGGUCUCUCCAUAGUUUUUAGUUUUAAGAAUUUUAGUUUUAAUAAAUACCAAACUAAAAACUAUGGAGAGACCUUGUCUGAAUAGA